AUGGAAAGACCCAGCAGCGGGGAGGAGGGAGAGGGGGACUCUCCCAACGAGACGAGGAUCUCGCCGGAGACGGCGGCGGCAGAAGCGGACGACUCCGUCCCGUACAUAGGGCAGCGGUUCCUGACACACGAAGCGGCGUACGAGCUCUACAGCGGGUUUGCAAAGCAGUGCGGGUUCUCGAUCCGGCGGCACCGUACGGAGGGGAAGGACGGCGUGGGCAAGGGUCUGACCCGGCGGUACUUCGUGUGCCACCGCGCCGGCAACACGCCAGCGAAACCCUUCGACGACGGCGCCAAGCAGCAGAGGAACAGGAAGUCCUCCCGCUGCGGGUGCCAGGCGUACCUACGCAUUGGUAGGGAUGCUGGAGCCGGCGGUCUGGAGUGGCGAGUCACGGGGUUCUCUAACUACCACAACCAUGAGCUCCUCCGGCAGGAUGAAGUGCGCUUUCUGCCGGCGUACCGUGUCAUCUCGGAGUCGGACAGAGACAGGAUCUUGGUGUUUGCAAAAUCUGGGAUCACUGUGCAGCAGAUGAUGAGGAUAAUGGAGCUGGAGAAGUGCGUCCAGCCGGGGAGCCUCCCAUUUACUGAGAAGGAUGUGAGAAAUCUCAUACAGUCCUUCAGGAGGUUCGAGCAGGAGGAGGAGAGUGUCGACCUGCUUCAGAUGUGCAGAAAUGUUAAGGAGAAGGAUCCCAAUUUCAAGUACGACUUCACCAAAGACGCCAACAACUGCGUUGAGAACAUCGCCUGGUCGUACGCAUCAUCGAUCCAGUCUUACGAGGUAUUUGGUGAUGCUGUUGUGUUUGACACCACUCAUCGGCUAACUUCUAUUGACAUGACACUGGGUAUUUGGAUUGGAAUGAACAAUCAUGGGAUGCCUUGCUUCUUCAGUUGCGUGCUUCUGAGGGAGGGAAAUCUGCAAUCCUUCACAUGGGCAUUACAGGUAUUUCUCAACUUCAUGAACAGAAAAGCUCCACAGACAAUAUUGACUGAUCAAAAUAUGUAUCUCAAAGAAGCAGUUCAAAAGGAGCUACCAAACACAAAGCAUGCCCUCUCCAUCGGGCUUAUUGCAUCCAGGUUUCUAUCUUGGUUCAAUGCAGUUCUCGGGAGACACUAUAAUGACUGGGAAAAUGAGUUUUAUAGGCUGCACAACAUGGAAAGCACAAUGGACUUUGAUCUUGGAUGGAGUGACAUGGUGAGCUGCUAUGGAUUACAUGGAAAUAGGCACAUUGCUAGCUUAUUUGCAUCACGGAAGCUUUGGGCAUCGCCAUAUUUGAGAGGACAUUUUUUGGCAGGGCUGGCUGCUUUGCCGGGAAUUUCAAAAAUAAAGGAUUUUAUUCAGCGGUUGUUGAGCGCCCAAACAUGCCUAUCCUGUUUCAUUGAGCAGGUUGCGGUAGUUGUUGACUACAAAGAUCAAGCUGGGGAACAACAAAUAGUGCAACAAAACUCGGAAAAUACAAUUCUGAAGACGGCAGCUCCAGUGGAAGGACAUGCUGCAGCUGUUUUCACCCCAUAUGCAUUCUAUAAGCUACAGGAUGAGCUUGUAGAGGCAGCCCAUUAUGCAUACUUCCACUUGGAAGGGAAUGCUUUUCUUGUCCGGCACCAUACCAAGACAGAUGGCGGUUGCAAUGUCACAUGGAACCAAAAGGAGGAGCUACUUUCUUGCAGCUGCCAAAUGUUUGAGUCAUCAGGGAUCCUCUGCCGGCAUGCCCUCCGUGUGCUCACAACGCUAAACUACUCUCAGAUCCCGGACCAUUACCUUCCUGUCCGAUGGCAUAGAACCCAGCCACAACCUUCCAAGUCAUUGAUUGGCGCUCCUGAUCAUGGCAGAUCAUAUGAAAGGGUGAAAGCACUCCAGUCCAUGGUCUCAGUUCUGGUUAGCGAAGCAGGCAAAUCGGAGGAACGGAUGGAUCUCGCGACACAGGAGGUCUCUGUCCUGCUGUCCCGGAUAAGGCAGCAACCUGUUGUGGCGAAUGUUUCAGGUGAUGGUGUUCGUCAGCAGCGGUGA
rnacentral:rRNA from 1 species